CAAUAUUCUCCAUAAAGCAAUCUGUUACCCCCAUCAUCAUCAUCAUUUUUGACAAACUUUAUCUCUCUCAUCUACCACCACCAAACCUACCACCACCAAAAGUUUGUUCAAGAUUAAAAACAAUACCCACCACACCACCAUCGCAGCAGUGGUUACCAGAUCCAGUCCGUGAGAGUCAUGAUCCAACAAUGUUUAAUAGAUCCGAUGGUGGUUUCAAGAUCCGGCGAUGGUCAACUAAUCCGAUGUUGAAGAUGAUGUUUCAGAUAUUGAAGAUGAUCCAAAAGAUGUUUGAUGUUGAACAUGAUGUUCUAGAUCUAAAAGAUUCUCCAGAUCCAUAAAUCUAAAAGGUCCUCCAGAUUUGCAAUUUAGGUUUUGUCGGUCUUCAUUUUUUUAUGUUUUGUAGAUCUGCAACUUUUUUUUUAGUUUUUGUUUAAGAAGAUGAAUGUUAUUAAGUUCUUGUUUUCUGGAUAUAUGGUUUUUUAUUACUGAUUUUAAGAUUGAAUCUAAAAAAUCUAUUAUUGUUGGAUUCUU